GUAGGGAAUAUUGGACAAUGGGGGCAACCCUGAUCCAGCGACGCCGCGUGAGUGAUGAAGGCCUUCGGGUCGUAAAGCUCUGUUGCAGGGGAAGAACACAAUGACGGUACCCUGCUAGAAAGGAUCGGCUAACUUCGUGCCAGCAGCCGCGGUAAGACGAGGGAUCCUAGCGUUGUUCGGAAUUAUUGGGCGUAAAGCGGGUGCAGGUGGCUUGGUAAGUCAGAUGUGAAAGCCUGGGGCUUAACCCCAGAAGUGCAUUUGAUACUGCUGAGCUUGAGUGCUGGAGAGGCUAUGAGAAUUCCUGGUGUAGUGGUGAAAUACGUAGAUAUCAGGAGGAAUACCGGAGGCGAAGGCGGAUAGCUGGCCAGACACUGACACUCAGACCCGAAAGCGUGGGGAUCAAACAGGAUUAGAAACCCGAGUAGUCC
rnacentral:rRNA from 1 species